UACGUAGGUGGCGAGCGUUGUCCGGAUUUACUGGGCGUAAAGAGCGCGCAGGCGGUCGUGCAAGUCGCGUGUGAAAGCCCCCGGCUCAACUGGGGAGGGUCACGCGAUACUGCUCGACUCGAAGGCAGGAGAGGGAAGUGGAAUUCCCGGUGUAGUGGUGAAAUGCGUAGAUAUCAGGAGGAACACCGGCGGUGUAGACGGCUUUCUGGACCGUAGCUGACGCUGAGACACGAAAGCGUGGGUAGCAAACAGG
rnacentral:rRNA from 1 species